CCCUUAGCAUGGAUUUUUUUGAGUGGAUACGUUUAAACGUUGAAGCUUUAUCUUGCUUCACCGUACUGGUCUUGACUUUGAACGAACUUUGCUUUAAAACUCACUGGUUAGCACAUUUUCUGAACAUUCGUUAAUUGAAAGCGACUUUGCUUACCUCCCAUGGUUCGUCCCUUAAGCUGUAAGGCAAAGAAGGAUCGACGGGCAUCUAUAUAUUGCUUUUUAAUUUGUGGACUUGAUAGAAACUUUAGGCAAAAUCAAGUGUUCUUGAGCUAAGCUACGUGCCAAAACCAGCCCCACAACGUGUACGUCAAGAGACAUUAAAUUUGAUCCUUUGAACUUUAAAGUUCGCUGAUGGGAAGGCAGGUGGAGCACAUCACAGCUAUUUCUAAGAAAAAUCUGGUCAUUGGUCUUUGGACUUAUUGGUUAUUAGUUGAACGUAUGCUUCGGUUUUGAUAGUUG
rnacentral:lncRNA from 1 species